UUCAAAGAGAGGAGGUAUCUUACGGGGAUCAUAGUUAAACGGAUUUGCGGUACUGGAAUAAAGAGGGGGUUAUCUGACGUUUAAUCUACAACUGUUAAACGUCAGAAGUUUGAUCGUCAUUAGUUAUAACUCAAGUAAUGAAAAAUAUACAUAUUUUUCCAAACCUCUUGUUUUCAGCAAAAAAGAAAUUAUGGAUGUAUGCAACGGGAGGAGGCGAAUGAUAAGAACCCCGAGAAGUCUGCGGGCUUACAAAAGGCUGAUUGAAGCCCAAAACUCCAAUGCAAACAUAAAGACCAAACCCGAGGUGAAACGAGAGAUGGGCAAAGUAUUGAGAGGGCUGACGGUAGGGAACAACAAAAACAGCAAGGACAUUGAUGUCCCUAUGGAGGAGGACUGUUUCUACAUGAACUUUUGCAAGAACGAGAGCCUGGCUCAUGCUAUGGUUAUGGCACCACGCUACAGUCUGUUGCGCGAGGUAGGAAGGGGCAGUUAUGGGAUAGUGUUCGAGGCAAUUGCUCGGAGGACUGGGGCAAGGGUUGCAGUUAAAAAACUUCAGUGCAAUGCUCCCGAAAAUGUUGAACUCGCUCUAGCCGAAUUCUGGGCCUUGGCAAGCUUGGAGAAGAAGCACGAGAAUGUGGUGCAGCUCGAGGAAUGUGUGCUACAAAGGAAUGGCAUGGCCCAAAAAAUGAGCCAUGGGAAUAAAAGGUCAAAGCAAUACCUGCGAUUGGUGGAAACUUCACUAAAAGGUGAACGGAUUCUGGGCUGCCCAGAGGAGCCAUGCUACCUGUGGUUCGUCAUGGAGUUCUGUGAGGGCGGGGACCUCAACCAGUACAUCCUGUCACGGCGGCCGGACCCGCGCACUAACAAGAGCUUCAUGCGACAGCUGAGCAGUGCCGUUGCCUUUCUGCACAAUAACAACAUUGUCCACCGUGACCUCAAACCCGACAAUAUCCUCAUCUCCCAGAAGUCGGGCUCACCUGUGCUCAAAGUGGCCGACUUUGGGCUUAGCAAGGUCUGCGCAGGCUUGGGCGCCUGUGGCAAAGAUGGCGACGAGUGCCCCACAGCUGGUGGUGGGGGCAGUGGCGGCAACGGAACCGUGAACGUGAACAAGUUCUGGCUGUCGUCGGCAUGUGGCUCAGACUUCUUUAUGGCUCCCGAGGUGUGGGAGGGUCACUACACGGCGAAGGCAGACAUAUUUGCGCUGGGCAUCAUCAUCUGGGCCAUGCUGGAGAGGAUCACUUUCAUCGAUGCUGAGUCCAGGCGCGAGCUGCUGGGCACCUACAUACGGCAGGGCAGCGAGAUUGUGCCGGUGGGCGAGGCACUGCUGGAGAACCCCAAGAUGGUGCUCCACAUCCCGCAGAAGACUCGCAGCACCAUGUCGGAGGGCGUAAAGAGGCUGCUGCAGGACAUGCUGGCGGUCAACCCUCAGGACCGGCCCGACGCCUCCCAGCUGAAGGUGCGGAUGGAUCAGGUCACGUGUGCCGCGUGACACGGCUCUCCACUCAUUCCCAUUUUCAAGACCUGGCAGGUCAGAGAAAGGAUUUCUUUUUUCUACUGAUUUGUUUACCAACUGAAUGUGGGAUCCCGUGUCUCUGCAGAGGUGAAAAUAGGGACUCUGAGGCAGUGCAUCUAUGAACUUUUAACCCUCCACAAUUGCUCCCAAAUGUUAUCAAACUAAAACUUGUGGGUUUGCUGUCAGCACAUUCAAAAACAGGACAACCUAUGCAAUCAAAACAUAUUGAAAAGUCUGGUCUUUUCCCCUUGCACCUUCAAUUGAAAUGUUGGAAUGUUGUUACAAAAAAGGCAAAAUUCAUUUACCAACAGGCAGGGCCAAAACAAAUAUUUCCUCUGCAAACCUUCUUUGGGAUGGGCUUUAAGAGUAAUGUUUUAUAUAUAACUGAUGUGGUGGUCUUUAAAAUAGCUUUUCUCAAUUUAUAAAUAUUUGUAUUGGUCCAAUAUAAUUCUUCAUUCGCAGGUCUCACUUGUGUUGGGUUGUUGGACAGGACCACAUAGGCUAGUAUGAAUUUAUACUGAUUGCUGUAGGCUGGAGAGGCUAAGUUGUUGCACUUUGUACCCUUUAUAGCAGAGUUUUUAAAAAGUAUCCCUGAAACGCACAAUGGUCAUGAUAAUGAAGUAAAGGAAGGAACUUCAUCUGGAUACUGUGAAUGGAAAAUGUGAAUGAAAUUCAGUACAACUUUAUACAAUUUAGAAAUACGUAUUUUGGGAAGUACACAGCCGCCAGUUUCACCCCUCAUUAGUGAGGACGCACUGCAUCAGCGUCAUCAACAACUGUUCCUCUCCUUGGACACACUCGUGCCUUAUUAUACCACUGUCUAAUAGUGGCAUAACCACAUUUAUUCUCAAAUAAUGUCACUUUUUUUACAUGCAGUAUAUUUGUCCCUGUAUCAUGUGAUAAUAUGGACAAUAUGUUGUGUCUUUGAAGCCAAAUGUGAGAGAAAAUGGUUUUAGGGAAAAUACCUUUCGCUCUGACCAUAACGUAACAGAAUUUUGGAAAAUGGAUUUCAAAGUUGCUCAACAUUACAUUAUUUCACAUAUUCCAAAACGUUUUUUGUUUUAAAGAAAAUGUUGACGGAUUAGCCAGGAAACACAAACAUACUGCAUAAGUCUACACACCCCAUAUGCAGUCUUCAAAAUGGUCUGCCUUAAAGUCAAAUAAUUUAUUAAAUUAUAUUUGAGUUUUUCUAGCGUUUUACCCCCUUUUCUCCCAAUUGUCAUCAUGACCAACUGUAUCUACGGUCCGUCUUGUUGCAACAACUCCCAAUGGAUUAGGCCAGGCCUUUUCUCCCACCCUGGAGUCACUGGUGUCCGAUGUGAUCAGGAAAUGUGUGAUGCCUUCCCGCUCCCCCGGUGAUGCUGGUCAAUUUGUAUCACCCAUGGGGCUUACCAGCAGUUGUUCUUAACCCUCUCCUAGGGACCCCCCAGCCAUCUCACAGUUUAGUUCUUGCCCUGAACUAGCUCACCUGAUUCAACAGGUAAGGGCUUGUUAAUUAGAUAAAAAGUUGAUUCAGGUGUGCUAGCUAUGGGAUACAUCUAAUAGAUGGAAUGGCUGGGGGGUCCCCGGGACAGGGUUAGGAACCACUGAGCUAGUGCAUGGGAACACUGUUUCUGGUAUUUUAAAGAGUGCCUUAGACCUCUUCACCACCUGGGAAGCCUUGUACUAAUUUCUGUGCAGAUCUUUCCACAGUGAGAAAAUUUGAAGGACCGCAAAAUGCGAAGGGGUAUGUAGACUUUCAGUAGGGACUGUGAUUGUAUAUCAUGACACAGUAGUAAACUAUUGUUUUCUGACAUGAUGUUGACAGUGUCAUGUUUAUGGCUACUCUGAAUUUAUGGUUUCAAUGAAAGGUUUGUGUAUGAAGAAUCAGGACCCUCAAGAAAUGAACUGUGUUAUGCAAUUAAUUUCAAGCAUAAAUGUUCUGUACAUCAUGUAUGCAUCUACAAGUGUAACACAUUUAGGGAAUUAAGGAAAAAGAGUGCUUUGAAAUUCCUUUUUAAACUUAAAAGUAUACAUAUUUGUUUACUUUGAAUAUUGUUAAAAUCUGAUUUUGUUCUUGGUGUCAUGCAAGGGUUGUUUUUCAUCCAUUUUAUCAGAUCUUUGAUGAAUGUGGGAAAACUGUUGAACCUCAUUGUAGGAUGACCUUGGCAUUAUUUUCUCCCAAAUAACAGCACUACAAGGUUAGAAACAUGUUUCUGACAUUGUAAUAGAAAGUAGUGAUUACUGCUUGGUAAUACAUUCCUUGCUAACCUUUGAGACAGUUUUAGUCAUGUCAUCUGACCCAGUAAAGAGGUGUGUAGGAAUUACAGUUGAAACAAGAGGAUACUACCUGACCACAGAUGUAUACUCAAGUUACAAUACCUAUUUAAGAUGGUUCCGGAAUGUAGAUUAUUUGGCAAACAGCAAUGAACAGUUGAACCCCAGCUAAUUUUGGCAUAUUGUCCACUACAAAAGCUUUAGUCUGAAGUGAGCACAGUAGUUGUUGCUUGUUUCAUCACCAUGUUUCCAAGAUUAAACUGGGACUGCAUCUUGUUAAGGCCAUCUCAUCCUGUUUUCAUGUUUUUUCUUAGAGCUCCUGACAAACACUGUUUCAUAGUUUAGUCCUACCUCAGUCUCAUCAUGUCUGUUUUCUUUCACUAGUUUUACAUACAAUUGCUUCUUAACUGGUUUCAGUGUAGCAUUUUAGGGCUUAUUUUCUUUUACUUGUGAGGUUUAGAUCUGAGACAGAUUUCUUCCGCUGAACAUUGAUUGCCGUUUAACAUUUUGAAUUUACUUUCAAUCUUAGCUUCAGAUAGCACUUAAAUUCUAGAUUAAAGUUAAUUAGUUUUUUUUUUCGUUUUUUAUACAAAUCUCAAUCUCGCAUAAAUCUUUUUUUUUAUGUUAGACUUAUUGGAGUUUACUUUACUCCUCUUUACCUAAGGGACCUGUUACCUGGAAAAAGCUUUUUUAACGUCUCACCUCAAGUGUUAUUUAAGCGUUUCCUUUAACGUCAUGGCAGCAUGUGAUGUUGCAUGACCACUCUACUUUGUUUACAUUAUUUGAUGAGGGAACUGAAGCUCAGUUUAUUGUUCAUACUGUUGUCAUUGUUUUAAGGGGAUCACUAUUCUCAAACCUACAGUAAGAAUUCCUCAAAAAAAAACUUCCUCUAUUUAACUUUAUAUGUACACAUUGCACAAGAAACUACACCAUGUGUGUUUUUCUUUUCUCCCGUGCAACUACUUUUUAUUUCAGCACUUAUUUCAAAGUGUGUGUUUAGUAUGUCUUUAGAAUGUAAAAUAUCAAGCUGAAUGGAGCCAUUAGAUGUUUCAGGAGGCAUCAAGUUUUUCUUUUGGAUAAUGCUUUACAUCUUCUGUUUUUCUUGAAAUAAAUGAUAAAAAGUUUGCUUUUA